UGCAAAGAAAAACAGAGCUGACCCACAAAAGUUUUGGAACCAAGAUUAACCUCUAUCAAAGUGAUGGAAAGGCCAAAGGAUCUGCUCAUGAUCCAAAACAUACAAGCUCAUCUGUGAAACAUGGUGGAGGUAGUGUCAUGGCUUGGGCUUGGAUAGCUGUUUCUGGAGCAGGCUCACUAAUCUUCAUUGAUGAUGGAACUCAUGAUGAUAACAGCAGAAUGAAUUCAGAAGUUUACAGUGUCGCGACGGGCAGAGAUCCGGCGCACACCAGAGGGAAAACGCUCCUUCUCCGACUGCCGCACCGGCACGACGUGGGCAGCUUCCUGCCGAACAUUCCGCCAGCUGGAGGGACCGCCGCGGCAGGGCGGGGCUGACGCGACUCCGGCCCGCGAUUGGCGGAUCCAACGGGGAAGUCCCACCACUCAGGCGACGACGGAGGAGGAUAAAAGAGCGCGCUUCCGGCCGGGAAGGAGAAGAGAAUAUCGUGGCGUCAAAACGGACUCCGAGUCGUAAGCGCGGACGAGACCGCCGGAUAGUGAGAGUCGCACACACGGAGGACGCCGGCCCGGGAAAACCCCCGCCCCGCCUCGGGAAUCCCGCCUCCGCCACGAGUCGACUCCGCCGGCCGUCACGCCUUCACAAACCCCCGCACUCUUCCAUUUAUCACACGUUCACCUCACCCUAGCCACAAUAAAGCACCGUCUGCAACCA